CGGACACGUCAAGAAGCGCCGCCCCGCCUCCGCCUCCACCUCCGCCACCAUCCCAGUCUUCAAAUAAAAGCUCCGAGAUGCAAACAGGCAUGUCCGACAGGAGGACAGAGGCUUAUCCGGAAAAAAAGCGACCCCAGGAACAUGGCUCAAGACCCGAACUCUUUCCAAAGGGCACCAACCCGUUUGCAACAGUGAAGUUGAAGCCCACAUCCACCAACGACAGGUCGGAGCCUCGCCUGUACCGCAAAUGACUCUAAACAGUCCACCAGGUUUGAGACUUCCAGCUAAGGUGAGAAAACUGCAACGUAGAACAUAGAUUGGACUCUACAUAAACAAACACAAUAUGUUUCAAUCCGUGAAGGUGUUUAAUGUUUAUGCACAAGUGUAUUAGGGCGCUUACUUCAUCAAUUCUGUCAAGAAAUUCAACUCAAAAUAUGUCACAUUUUUAUUACAGCAAUGUGUAAAUAAUAAGUGAUGAAUGUUCAACUGUGCUGUUUCAAGGCCUUAAAGGUGUGUCAUACCUGCAAAUGACCUCUAGGCACAUGAUUAUAAUAUCAUCCAGUGGUAAAAAGAAAACACUUGACACCAUAGUGACCAACAUUAAAAAAAAUACAGUAGCGUAGUAGGCCUAAGUAUGCUCGUGAGGCAUCCGCACGAGAUGCCCGAACCACCUAAGCUGGUUCCUUUCCAAGCGAUAUAUAUUUUUCU